UCUCUUCUCCCUCGGUGUCGGCUUCUCCAUCGCGAGCCUCUCUCCAGUUCUCCCUCGCUGUCGGAUUCUGUUCUCCUUCUCCCUCGCCGGCCGCCGGCUCACAAUUCUGUUCCCUCGCGACUCUCUGUUCUCCAGUUGCUAGCAAAAGAGGGACAUUGGAUGGAAUUAUGGCACUCAAGGGUUGGAUAAUUUGAAGAAGAAUAGACUUUUAAAGUUUUGGUUUAUUGUAUUUUGAAUUGUUUGGUCUUUAAAGUUUUAGACAUUUUAGUAUCUACUAUUGGUUUUUGAAUUGAAUAUUUGUUAAUAUGUGUUAUUGCUAUUAAGAUUUUGGACAAAAUAUGCAGUUAAAUAUUUUUAAUUUUUGGUAUUAAUUGACGCCUUUAUUCAAAAAGGCAAGCGCCUCGCCGCUCGCCUCGCCGCGUGGCGAGGCAGGCCCUUGUCGCCUUUUGUCGCCUCUCGCCGUCCACAACACUGAUUCUAGAUAGCUAUUCUAAUUAAUAGAUCGAUACAGAUGCCUGACCCACUGGAAAUUUAAUAGAAAAUCACACAUAAUAGCAGGAAGUAAGGACCACUUUACAGAAAAAAAACAUUGUGCCACUUUUACUUAUGUUGGAGAAAAGAAAUCAUAUUUAUUGAAUAAAUCAAACGUGGACUUAAGAGUGAUCCAUAAGGUUAUUGCCAUAAUGUUACUAAACUAGUAUCAGAUGCACUGUAGUCUAUGAUGGGGUUGGGGCACAUUUCUUACGUAUCACAGGAUUCAAAUGAGGAAAAAGCAAGAAGCUGGCAGGAGGACACAAAGGUGAGAGUGAAAGUUUAUUACCAAAAGAUAUUCAAGGAAGCAUGUAAUAGCAUCAAAAAAUGACCGAGGACGAAUACACAUUUUGGGUGGAUAUACUGGAUGAUUAUAAAAUGAUGCAACUCAAUGGACCACCUGAAGUAAGGGGUAUAAGUAAUAAAGGUAUAAGUGGUAAGCACUGAGCUAUUAAAUUGUUCAAAAGCUAACUAGCAUUUGCUUGAUGCAAAAAGGCACAGCGAGUAAAACUCAUGAUAGCUUUUGUCAUUCAGAGUGAGCUAAAGAUUGGCUGCAUCACUUACGUACUUCUUUUUGCAUCUAGGUGAUAGUUUCUACUAAUUGAAGAAAAUGUGACGGAUUUUUCAAAUUCAAAAAAAAAAAAAAAAA